GAGGACUGAGGAGUACAAGUGUUAUCAGACACCAGGAGGAAGGUCCUGUGGCUUGACAAAUCAUUGCAGCUCUUGCCCCAAAACUAUGUACCUAGGAAGCAGUUCUAACUCCUUGAUACAAUUCUGUUCUCCUCAGGAUUUAGGAACCGUAAUUUCAAUCACAUCUCAAUCAUGACUCAUUAUAGUCUCAUUCUCCACUACUAAAAAUGCCAGCUAGUUCUGAAGAACCACUAUAAUGGAUUGCAGAUUUGCAAAGCCCACGCAAGUUCCUGUCUUAUUCUAUAUAGAGAAUGUGACAAGUACUGGAAUACAGAAAACUUCACUGCAGCCAAGAGUGAAAGCAAGCUGUUGGCCGGAUAUCCUGAUCAGAUGGCUACUGUCACUCUUGCCUAUGGCUCUCCACAACACUGCCAACACCCAUUAGUCUAGACCCACAGAGAAUUCAGAGUUCAACCCUGCCAAAGGCAGAUCCUUCCGGGCCUCUGCAGCUGCUUAAU